rnacentral:rRNA from 1 species
UACGAAGGGGGCUAGCGUUGCUCGGAAUCACUGGGCGUAAAGCGCACGUAGGCGGCUUGUUAAGUCAGGGGUGAAAUCCUGGAGCUCAACUCCAGAACUGCCUUUGAUACUGGCGAGCUUGAGUCCGGGAGAGGUGAGUGGAACUGCGAGUGUAGAGGUGAAAUUCGUAGAUAUUCGCAAGAACACCAGUGGCGAAGGCGGCUCACUGGCCCGGUACUGACGCUGAGGCACGAAGCGUGGGAGGCAAACAGG